rnacentral:rRNA from 1 species
GAUGAACGCUGGCGGCGUGCCUAAUACAUGCAAGUCGAGCGAACAGACGAGGAGCUUGCUCCUCUGACGUUAGCGGCGGACGGGUGAGUAACACGUGGAUAACCUACCUAUAAGACUGGGAUAACUUCGGGAAACCGGAGCUAAUACCGGAUAAUAUAUUGAACCGCAUGGUUCAAUAGUGAAAGACGGUUUUGCUGUCACUUAUAGAUGGAUCCGCGCCGCAUCAGCUAGUUGGUAAGGUAACGGCUUACCAAGGCAACGAUGCGUAGCCGACCUGAGAGGGUGAUCGGCCACACUGGAACUGAGACACGGUCCAGACUCCUACGGGAGGCAGCAGUAGGGAAUCUUCCGCAAAGGGCGAAAGCCUGACGGAGCAACGCCGCGUGAGUGAUGAAGGUCUUCGGAUCGUAAAACUCUGUUAUUAGGGAAGAACAAAUGUGUAAGUAACUAUGCACGUCUUGACGGUACCUAAUCAGAAAGCCACGGCUAACUACGUG